rnacentral:rRNA from 1 species
AUUGAACGCUGGCGGCAGGCCUAACACCUGCAAGUCGAACGAGCGGCGGACGGGUGAGUAAUGCCUGGGAAACUGCCUGAUAGAGGGGGAUAACGACCGGAAACGGUAGCUAAUACCGCAUACCAUCAGAUGUGCCCAGGUGGGAUUAGCUUGUUGGUGGGGUAACGGCUGACCAAGGCGACGAUCCCUACCUGGUAUGAGAGGAUGAGCAGCCAGACUGGAACUGAGACACGGUCCAGACUCCUACGGUAGGCAGCAGUGGGGAAUAUUGCACAAUGGGCGCAAGUCUGAUGCAGCCAUGCCGCGUGUGUGAAGAAGGUCUUCGGAUUGUAAAGCACUUUCAGCGGGGAGGCGUUACCCACAGAAGAAGCACCGGCUAACUCCGAGCCAGCAGCCGCGGUAAUUC